AGAUAAUAGAUACCCUGGUAGUCCACGCCGUAAACUAUGGAUGCUAGCUGUUAGAGGUAUCGACCCCUCUAGUAGCGAAAGCUAACGCGUUAAGCAUCCCGCCUGUGGAGUACGGUCGCAAGACUAAAACAUAAAGGAAUUGACGGGGACCCGCACAAGCGGUGGAGCGUGUUGUUUAAUUCGAUGGUAAGCGAAGAACCUUACCCAGGCUUGACAUCCUUGGAAUUUUGGCGAAAGCCGAGAGUGCCUUCGGGAACCAAGUGACAGGUGUUGCAUGGCCGUCGUCAGCUCGUGUCGUGAGAUGUUUGGUUAAGUCCAUCAACGAGCGCAACCCUUAUAGUUAGUUGAAUUUUUCUAGCUAGACUGCCCUGGCAACAGGGAGGAAGGAGGGGAUGAUGUCAGGUCAGUAUUACCCUUACGUCUGGGGCUACAAACACGCUACAAUGGCCGGUACAAAGGGCAGCCAAGUCGCGAGACGAAGCAAAUCCCAUCAAAGCCGGUCUAGGUUCGGAUAGCAGGCUGAAACUCGCCUGCUUGAAGCU
rnacentral:rRNA from 1 species